UCGUGCUAGACGGGGAGCUAGCGGUGCCCUGAAGCCCGAUGCGAAUCAGGAUGACCCGAAAUCCGCUUAUGCGGGGUUGAAGACUUCAUUCGAGCUAGAACUUUCAGGGGCAACAGCAAGGAGCGGAGUGCGAUGACGAUCGGGUCUUGCGAUAGUGCCGUCUACGAACCCCGUCAGGUCCGGAAGGAAGCAGCGGUAAGUAGAAAGGGCUAGUCACAAGGGUUCCUGAUCUGAGUUCUUCGCCUUGCUGUUCCUGGAUGUUUCUGG
rnacentral:SRP_RNA from 1 species